UACGGAGGGGGCAAGCGUUGUUCGGAAUUACUGGGCGUAAAGGGCGCGUAGGCGGAUUAUCAAGUCAGAGGUGAAAGCCCUGGGCUCAACCUGGGAACUGCCUUUGAAACUGAUAGUCUUGAGGCCGGAAGAGGAUGGCGGAAUUCCCAGUGUAGAGGUGAAAUUCGUAGAUAUUGGGAAGAACACCAGUGGCGAAGGCGGCCAUCUGGUCCGGUUCUGACGCUGAGGCGCGAAAGCGUGGGGAGCAAACAGGAUUAGAAACCCGGGUAGUCC
rnacentral:rRNA from 1 species